rnacentral:rRNA from 1 species
UACCUGGUGGAUCCUGC